rnacentral:tmRNA from 1 species
GGGGGUGUCACGGUUUCGACGGGGUAUGGAAAGAUUUUGGAGGCGGCUCGGCAUCGCACCACCGUAAUCGGGCGGAACUUUAUAAUUGCCAACGACGAGCAUUAUGCUCCGGUGAGGGCAGCGGCCUAAAACCGCUGCUUGAUCGGGGUCCGGAUCCAGACCCGGCAACAGAAGUCUCACGACAGGAUCAAGCCGGAAUGUGAAGGCCGGUUAAAAUCCAGGUUCACCCAGUUUUCCGAGGUUACGGAAGCAAAGGACCCAGCCGGUCUGUAACCGGGUCCCGCGCUCACGACCGGCAAAAUGGCCGUACAUCUUCCAGGUUGAAUACAUGUUUCGGACGCGGGUUCGACUCCCGCCACCUCCACCA